CAACAGGGAUUGCCCUAGUAACGGCGAGUGAAGCGGCAACAGCUCAAAUUUGAAAUCUGGCGUCUUUGGCGUCCGAGUUGUAAUUUGCAGAGGGCGCUUUGGCAUUGGCAGCGGUCCAAGUUCCUUGGAACAGGACGUCACAGAGGGUGAGAAUCCCGUACGUGGUCGCUAGCCUUUACCGUGUAAAGCCCCUUCGACGAGUCGAGUUGUUUGGGAAUGCAGCUCUAAAUGGGAGGUAAAUUUCUUCUAAAGCUAAAUACUGGCCAGAGACCGAUAGCGCACAAGUAGAGUGAUCGAAAGAUGAAAAGCACUUUGGAAAGAGAGUUAAAAAGCACGUGAAAUUGUUGAAAGGGAAGCGCUUGCAGCCAGACUUGCCUGUAGUUGCUCAUCCGGGUUUUUACCCGGUGCACUCUUCUAUAGGCAGGCCAGCAUCAGUUUGGGCGGUUGGAUAAAGGUCUCUGUCAUGUACCUCUCUUCGGGGAGAACUUAUAGGGGAGACGACAUGCAACCAGCCUGGACUGAGGUCCGCGCAUCUGCUAGGAUGCUGGCGUAAUGGCUGUAAGCGGCCCGUCUUGAAACACG
rnacentral:rRNA from 1 species